UAAGCCCCAUCCUUUAGGGUAUUUAAAAACCAUACUAGAUAAUAACCCGGAUAUGUUAUUAAACACGUCGUGAGAAGUUCUAUGAAUCUCUCCAUGUGUGCCGAUGGAUCAUCAACUCUAGUCCCUUUAAAUAUAGGGAGGUUGUGGGAUAUAGGAGCUGCUUGUAAAUCCUUAGGAAUUACUAUUGGCAAGCCUCUUGGUUGAACCAAGGGGUUGAUGGAUAAAGGAGUAGGUAUAGAUUUUCCUUCACGUUCUAUUGGAGGAGAAGGAGGUGUUGACCCUUCUCUCUCUUAAUUUAUCCUUAGAACUAAAUUAGGAGAGUUAAGAUUCAAUCCUUUUUCUCUUAUUUCCUUGCCCAAACUUGAUUCAAUUAGAUUU
rnacentral:lncRNA from 1 species